UUCGCAGUCUGAGUCAGUCUUUUGCUCCAUAUCUAUUAAGACUUCUUCAUUCAUUUUAUUUCUUCCUUUCUUUACUCUCAAGUCAAUAUUUUACAGUCCGUCAAUGAGACGUGUUCCUCUCCUCCUCUGAGGAUCACUGGAGGUUUGAAGUAGCUCUGCUUCACAGAAUUGGGAAAAAAAGUGCAGGGUUCUACUACCUACACAGCAAAAAUUGUAGUGUUGAUUGGAGUUAAAUUCCCAGUGUAAAUUAUUCCGAGUGAAUGGGUGUUGAUUUGUGUGUUAUUUUAACACUUACAGUGCAGAAAAAGCUCUGAAGGGGGCGUCAUUCCAAGGAGUUCGGAGCAUACACUUAUUUUGAGUUACUUUCCACAUCCGUUUUUUUCGCGCUCAUUCAUUGACGAGCAGGAUUUGUCUUCACUUACCGUGGCAGUGAACUAUGCUAAACGCCCAGAAGAAAGCUGUGUGGGAUUGGGAUAUUCGUUUUAAAAGUUUCAGGAUGUUGCUGAAGGUGAAAUGCAAUACUAUCAAGAAGUACAUCAAAUUGCCCUCAGGCUUCACCUAUUCAGAAUUCAUCAGGGAAGUCAAAAACAAGUUUGGGCUUCCUGAUGUAGCUCGACUGUACUUGACAUUUUUGAUGAUACUGACACAGCAGUAGAGGAAGACAUUCUACUAGAGCUGUUGGAGGCCAAUCCUGUGCCUGACAGUACGUGACAGCAUUUCCAAUGAAGGUAGGUGUCAUUAAGAAAACCAAUGUUAAUGGAUAGGGCUAUUUGGUGCACCUAACAUUGACCUUUCUUUAUGGAAGGAACAUGGCAGUGGUCAAG